rnacentral:rRNA from 1 species
UACGUAGGGUGCAGGCGUUAAUCGGAAUUACUGGGCGUAAAGCGUGCGCAGGCGGCUCCUUAAGUCAGAUGUGAAAUCCCCGGGCUUAACCUGGGAACUGCGUUUGAAACUGGGGAGCUAGAGUGUAGAAGAGGGGGUGGAAUUCCAGGUGUAGCAGUGAAAUGCGUAGAGAUCUGGAGGAACACCGAUGGCGAAGGCAGCCCCCUGGGCUAACACUGACGCUCAUGCACGAAAGCGUGGGGAGCAAACAGG